CACCCGCAGCUCGAGUGGUGGUCACUUUUAUUGAGCCUAAAGCGUUUGUAGCCGGUUUUGCAAAUCUUCAGAUAAAUUCCUCUGCUUAACAGAUGAUCUUCUGAAGAGACUGCAAGACUUGGGACCGGGUGAGGUUGAAGGUACUUCCGGGGUAGGGGUAAAAUCCUGUAAUCCUGGAAGGACGACCGGUGGCGAAGGCGUUCAACUAGAACGGAUCCGACGGUGAGGAACGAGGGCUAGGGUAGCAAACCGGAUUAGAUACCCGGGUAGUCCUAGCUGUAAACACUGCCCACUUGGUGUUGCCCCUCCGAUGAGGGGAGGCAGUGCCGGAGCGAAGGUGUUAAGUGGGCCGCUUGGGGAGUAUGGUCGCAAGGCUGAAACUUAAAGGAAUUGGCGGGGGAGCACCGCAACGGGAGGAGCGUGCGGUUUAAUUGGAUUCAACGCCGGAAAACUCACCGGGAGCGACCUUUGGAUGAGAGUCAGCCUGAUGAGCUUACUCGAUAGAAGGAGAGGUGGUGCAUGGCCGUCGUCAGCUCGUACCGUAGGGCGUUCACUUAAGUGUGAUAACGAGCGAGACCCCCAUCUCUAAUUGCUAACGUGCAUUCGCGUGCACGCGCACUUUAGAGGGACCGCCAGUGCUAAACUGGAGGAAGGAGGGGUCGACGGCAGGUCAGUACGCCCCGAAUCUCCCGGGCAACACGCGCGCUACAAAGGGCAGGACAAUGAGUUGCCACCUCGAAAGGGGGAGCUAAUCUCGAAACCUGUUCGUAGUUAGGAUUGAGGGCUGUAACUCGCCCUCAUGAAUGUGGAUUCCGUAGUAAUCGCGGGUCAACAGCCCGCGGUGAAUAUGCCCCUGCUCCU
rnacentral:rRNA from 1 species